GGACUACUGGGGUAUCUAAUCCCGUUUGCUCCCCUGGCUUUCGCGCCUCAGCGUCAGAAAAGGUCCAGUGCGCCGCUUUCGCCGCCGGCGUUCCUUCUGAUAUCAACGCAUUUCACCGCUCCACCAGAAGUUCCGCGCACCCCUACCUUCCUCCAGCCCGCCGGUAUCGAAGGCUCUUCCACGGUUAAGCCGUGGGAUUUCACCCCCGACCUCGCGAGCCGCCUACGCGCCCUUUAAGCCCAGUGAUUCCGAACAACGUUCGCACGGUUCGUCUUACCGCGGCUGCUGGCAC
rnacentral:rRNA from 1 species